UGUCCUUUUCUUAAAAUAUCAAGUUGCCUCAGUGCCUCUACCUGUGCUUGAAACGGUGCGUUUCAGGGACUUUCCACUCUCAUGCUGGUUCGAAAACUUCGCUAAGCUCCAUUGCGAACACGAAGAAACCGGCCGUCUUUUAGAUAAAUUGUAGUACUCAAUUUGCUACAACAACAUGAUCAAAGUUUACAAUCUUCAGAGCAAAUUUAUAUCAGGAUUUAUUUUGUCAAUCAGGAGGUAUUCAAGUGAGCCAAAAACAGACAUUACAGAUACAGCAAAAACUAUAAGUAAGAUAAUGUUAUCUUCCCCAACAGUAGUGCUUGACACUGCCCUUGACCAAAGUGGCAUUAGGGUAUCACCAGAAAUAGUUGAAGAUAUCCUCAAGAAAUUUGAGAAUGCUGGUAUGUUGGCAUAUCGUUUCUUUAAAUGGGCUGAAAAGCAGCGGAGCUAUGAGCACAACAUUAGGACUUACCACACCAUGAUUGAAUCUCUGGCCAAGAUAAGGCAGUACCAGAUCAUGUGGGAUCUUGUGAAUGCCAUGAGGAACAAGAGGAUGCUAAAUGUUGAGACCUUUUGCAUUAUUAUGAGAAAGUAUGCUAGAGCUCAAAAGGUGGAGGAAGCAGUUUACACAUUUAAUAUGAUGGGAAAAUAUGAUGUCCCCCCAAAUUUAGCGGCAUUCAAUGGCCUGUUAAGUGCUUUAUGCAAGUCUAAGAAUGUGAGGAAGGCUCAGGAGAUAUUUGAAAGCAUGAAGGAUCGUUUCAUUCCUGACUCAAAAACUUAUAGUAUACUUAUUGAUGGAUGGGGAAAGGAUCCAAAUCUGCCCAAGGCAAGAGAAAUAUUCAGAGAAAUGGUUGACAUGGGUUGCAAUCCUGAUAUAGUGACCUAUGGUAUAAUGGUUGACAUUCUUUGCAAGGCAGGGAGGGUUGAUGAAGCGCUCGGGAUUGUCAAGGGAAUGGAUUCUAGGAUUUGUCAGCCAACUUCUUUCAUUUAUUGUGUUCUGAUCCAUACAUAUGGGGUAGAGAACCGGAUUGAGGAUGCUGUUGAUACAUUCAUGGAGAUGGAAAGGAAUGGAAUUCAGGCUGAUGUUGUGGUGUAUAAUGCCUUGAUUGGUGCUUUCUGUAAAGCAAACAGGUUCAAAAAUGUUUACAGGGUUUUAAAUGAGAUGGAAUGCAAGGGUGUGCCACGUAAUUCGAGGACAUGCAAUAUAAUUCUGAAUGGCCUGAUAGGUCGUGGAGAAACUGAUGAGGCUUAUAAGGUAUUCCGUAGGAUGAUAAAGGUGUGUGAGCCAGAUGCAGAUACGUACACAAUUAUGAUAAAAAUGUUUUGUGAGAGGGGUGAACUAGAGAUGGCUUUCAAAGUAUGGAAAUUCAUGAGGUUGAAGCAGUUCAUCCCUAGCAUGCAUACCUUUUCAGUUCUUAUAAAUGGGUUGUGUGAGAGAGGAAAUGUUACUAAAGCUUGUGUCUUAUUGGAAGAGAUGAUAGAAAGAGGAAUCCAGCCUUCUAGUGUGACUUUUGGGAGGUUAAGACAAUUACUUAUAAAAGAAGGUAGAGAAGAUGUUCUUGAAUUUCUUCGGGAGAAAAUCAAUCUCCUGGUGAAGGAGCCUUUAUGUGAUUGAGGAACCAUAUAUGGUUGAGCUAGAAGCUGCUGACGAUUGGUGAUCCAGAAUCGGAGCUCUGGAGUCAAAAUGGGGAUUUUAUUAAGAGCAAAGGUCCAACAAAAGAAGUGAAGGUUAAACCAAAGAGAAUGAAUGUGAAAACUCAAUUUCUGAUGCUCAGUUAAUUGCACUUUGUGGUACAGCUUAGGCAGCCCCCGCUUUGUUCCUAGACCAUGGUUACGGUUACACGGAAGCAAGAGGUGCCUUUGGACUAUAAGACACCAAAUUUACAGUUAGAUCUGUGGAUAAUGGAUAUGUUAACAUGUUAACUGCAGAUUUGAGGGUCAUUUGGAAGAGGGAACAUAUUUUGUUUGUUGGAUAAGGGAUUUCCCUCCGAAUAUUAGUUAUGUAUUGUAAAUACAUUUCAUGAAGAAUUAAAAUUAUGACACAACUCAAUCUCACAACUAGAGAUGAGCGUUUUACCCGUCCUGUUAGA